UCUUUGGUGGCGCAUUCGUCGAGGCCCG
rnacentral:sRNA from 1 species